rnacentral:rRNA from 1 species
GAUGAACGCUGACAGACUGCUUAACACAUGCAAGUCAACUGUGGCGGACGGGUGAGUCACGCGUAAAGAACUUGCCUCACAGCUAGGGACAACCUUUGGAAACGAAUGCUAAUACCUGAUCCUGUGAGGGCGCUUUGCUUCCCAUUAGCUAGUUGGAGAGGUAACGGCUCACCAAGGCGAUGAUGGGUAGCCGGCCUGAGAGGGUGAUCGGCCACAAGGGGACUGAGACACGGCCAGUAUUCCUACGGGAUGCAGUAGUGGGGAAUAUUGGACAAUGGACCAAAGUCUGAUCCAGAAAUUCUGUGUGCACGAUGAAGUUUUCGGAAUGUAAAGUGCUUUCAGUUGGGAAGCGGUACCAACAGAAGAAGUGACGGCUAAAUACGUGCCAGCAGCCGCGGUAAUAC